UACGUAGGGUGCAAGCGUUAAUCGGAAUUACUGGGCGUAAAGCGUGCGCAGGCGGUUUUGUAAGUCUGUCGUGAAAUCCCCGGGCUCAACCUGGGAAUUGCGAUGGAGACUGCAAGGCUAGAAUCUGGCAGAGGGGGGUAGAAUUCCACGUGUAGCAGUGAAAUGCGUAGAGAUGUGGAGGAACACCGAUGGCGAAGGCAGCCCCCUGGGCUAGCACGUGACGCUCAGGCACGAAAGCGUGGGGAGCAAACAGGG
rnacentral:rRNA from 1 species